CUACGGGUUGCUGCAGUGGGGAAUAUUGCACAAUGGGCGCAAGCCUGAUGCAGCAACGCCGCGUGAACGAAGAAGGUCUUCGGAUCGUAAAGUUCUUUUCUUAGGGAAGAAAAAUGACGGUACCUAAGGAAUAAGCACCGGCUAAAUACGUGCCAGCAGCCGCGGUAAUACGUAUGGUGCAAGCGUUAUCCGGAAUCGCUGGGCGUAAAGGGAGCGUAGGCGGUUUUGCAAGUCAGAAGUGAAAGGCUACGGCUCAACCGUGGUAAGCUUUUGAAACUGCAAGACUAGAGUGCAGGAGAGGCAAGUGGAAUUCCUAGUGUAGAGGUGAAAUUCGUAGAUAUUAGGAGGAACACCAGUGGCGAAGGCGACUUGCUGGACUGUAACUGACGCUGAGGCUCGAAAGCGUGGGGAGCGAACAGGAUUAGAUACCCUCGUAGUC
rnacentral:rRNA from 1 species